UAGGGAAUCUUCCACAAUGGACGCAAGUCUGAUGGAGCAACGGCCGCGUGAGUGAAGAAGGUUUUCGGACCGUAAAGCUCUGUUGUUGGUGAAGAAGGAUAGAGGUAGUAACUGGCCUUUAUUUGACGGUAAUCAACCAGAAAGUCACGGCUAACUACGUGCCAGCAGCCGCGGUAAUACGUAGGUGGCAAGCGUUGUCCGGAUUUAUUGGGCGUAAAGCGAGCGCAGGCGGAAGAAUAAGUCUGAUGUGAAAGCCCUCGGCUUAACCGAGGAAUUGCAUCGGAAACUGUUUUCUUGAGUGCAGAAGAGGAGAGUAGAACUCCAUGUGUAGCGGUGGAAUGCGUAGAUAUAUGGAAGAAUACCAGUGGCGAAGGCGGCUCUCUGGUCUGCAACUGACGCUGAGGCUCGAAAGCAUGGGUAGCGAACAGGAUUAGAUACCCUGGUAGUCCAUGCCGUAAACCGAUGAGUGCUA
rnacentral:rRNA from 1 species